ACUACAACAAAAAUUAAAGCAAUCCCAAAAAUAGAGCUGCAGCUGCCGAAAUUCAUUCAUCCUCUUGGACUUGUUGAGCCCACCUCCUAUAUGUCAUCCCUACAAAGAAAUGCCCUCUUUAUCAAGUACCUUCUCAUGGGGGGAUGCAAAAGUUAGCUAUUUAGGCAUUUAUCAUAUCUGAAAAGGUUGUGACUUUAGACACCAAAGGGCCAUUUGCAAGCUAGUGUUCCUUCUCUUCUACUAAGUUGUUGAAAAAAAAUAAAUUAUUGAACCAUGUUUACUUUAAAUUCUCUAUAAUAACUUUUGAUUUUAUUGGACUGUUAGGCAGAAAAAUAAAGAGGACAAAAGUAACCGAUGUUUGGCUUCUGUUUUGUAUUGAGAAAAAAA
rnacentral:misc_RNA from 1 species